rnacentral:lncRNA from 1 species
UUUUCCGGGACGACACAAACACGGAGAAGUUAGCGAGGAGCGCGACCCGGAUCGAGACAACAAAGCACUUCUAGCUCGCCACUGCGCAGAGACACACGGAAUCAGCCGGAGGAGCUGCGCACGCCGCACGAUGGACCGAGAAGCGAGAAGCCUGUUCGUAAACUACGCCGUCCUCAUCGUCCUGCUGCUAAUCUUAUGGGUACUCUACACGGGAGACAGUUCUGAAGCCUAACCGGAAGUUGCACAAUGUAGUGCCGGUUGACUGUGCAUCGGUUGGGAUAUUCAAAAUGCAGUCAUCUGUUCGGAACCAUAUGUAAACAGGACACACGGACUCUCAAGCAGUGGCCAUCCUCUGCAGAACCUGAGGGCUGCCAAGAACUGCAGUUCUGACAAGAAAAGAUGAAGGGGACACCUCUGCCAAGAAAGCAUCGAAAGACGCAUGCUCGCAAAUUCCACUUCGAUGGGGCCAGACAUGUUGGCCUUGCAUAGUACCAAGAACAUUGUCAGCAGCACAUAAAUUUACAGGAAAAAAACUAAUUGGCACAAGCGCAGAUAAGCCCACAGAGGAGCAUCCACAGAGGAAGCAAGCAGCCUGUUGUUCAUGUAUAUAUAAAAUGUGUGCCUUACACCCUACAAGAAUGUUCUGUAGAUAGAGUUCAAAGCAAUUAUCGCUUGUUCAACACAUGCUUCUGCAAGACUCAUUUAGAGGCCUCUUGAGACCACCUUUGUGCUUGGACAUCAUCAGUGUAUGUAUCGUGCCACAUCUCUCAUGUCAAUAAAACGUAGAGGCUGUUGCGCCAUCCCGCUAAGGUUGUAGAGAAUCGACGUCAAAUAAAUAGAAGAGCUGAAAUAAAAUUUGUUACCAAUGGUUA